GGCUUUAUAGUGUAAUAUAGCACAUUAGAUUGCAAGUCUAAAAGAGGGUCACCCUAAAGCUU
rnacentral:tRNA from 1 species